rnacentral:lncRNA from 1 species
AACACACGCUCGGGUGCUAAGAACACGCCCGUGUCCCGAACCCAUGUCCAAAACCUGGACAAAUACAAGGCUAUUUUCCAAGCCAUUUUGUCACACUCACAACACAUGCACGCAUACCUAUACAAUAGCAUACAACAUGGCAAAAUUAGGCACUUAAACCUUCCUAACAUGACAUGACCAUGGUAAUUUCACAUGCAACCAUUACAAUAAGUUUUUCUUUCAUCUUUACCAUAUUAAUGCUAUAGCUAUCAACAUGUCAUCAAACCUCAUGUCCAUCACAAAGCAUGAAUAAUCAUAUCCACAAACCAUUCAUGAAGCAUUAUUAACUAUUUACCAAUCACUUAAUCCUGCAUUAGUUAUUAGCUCAUCAAUGAAUCUCAAUUCAAUCUCUAGGCAUACAUGUUGUAAGCCACAUCACAAGAGAUAAUAACAUACAUGCAUAAGAAUAAUCAUAUGGCCCAUAACGAUAUUAGCCGACAUAGGCCAAUUUACAUGACUAAUACUACCUUAAUAACAAGCCAAUGCCUUUGGCUAAAUCAUAAUAUUACAUACUCACAUUAAAACCCUAUACAUGCCAUAGACUAGAAUCACUUGAGUUUACUUACGCCGAUAGCGUUAACUCGACAGUGUGAUAAUAUCUCUGACGGCCUUCAACCCGAGCUAACCUGGAAACUCUAGAAAACAUGGGAAAGAAGGGGGGGUAAGCUUUCACUUAGUAAGUUCAUAUGAAAACAAUAAGCAACUCAUUAACUUGUUUUAUCAAUGUUUACAACAUAUUCUCAAGUUCACUGCAAGCUGUCUUCCUAAGCAAUAGUCACUAAAUUAUUUAUAUCUGGAGCUACAAAACUCCAAAUUAAGUUCCGUUAAUUUUCCCUGAAACUAGACUCAUUUAUCUUUCUUUCAUAAAAUUUCCAGAAUUUUUAGUCAAGCCAUUUAGUACAGUUUAUUAGUUAAAGUCUCCCCUGUUUCAGGGUAUGACCACUCUGACCCUUGUGCACUACAAACCGAAUUUCUCCCUGUACAAAAUUCCAACGACGAUGCCAUUUUUUCCCUUAAAAAUAGACUCAAUAAGGAAUCCAUGCAUGUAAGGUAUGACUCUUAAUAAUUUUUUUACAAUUUAUGAUGAAUUUCUAAAGUUAGAACAGGGGAUCUCGAAUUCAUUUAGACCCUGUUUUACAAGAAUUCAAAUAUCACACAAUAUAGAAUUCUUUUUCUUCCUCUGUUUCUUUCAUGUAAAAAUAGACUCAUUAAGCUUUAAUCUCAUAUUUUAUUCUGCCUCUAACUAAUUUUCCACUAUUUUUAGUGUAUUUUCAAAGUUACAUUACUACAGUAACUCAAAUCUGUCAAGGCUAAGUUACUCAUUCAUGAUCAUUGUUCACAAAAUUAAUACAACAUCAUUUCAUCCAUCAUGGUAAGAACACAUAUUAUGCAUCAUAGAUCAUCACAUAUCAAGGCAUUCUCAUAGGCUUAAUAUACAUACUUGCACAACUCGUAACAUAACUCAAGUGUAUACUCACCAAUGACUUACCUCGUUGGGACCAUCAUCAACUCUUUCCUUGGAUUACCCGUUGAACACUUGGAAUACUAAUUGGAUACUCAGAAAAGCCUUUGCACAUAAGUGCCUCAAUUGUAGCUAAAGCUACCUCAUAUCUCAUGACAUUUCAAUGCUCACUCUCGAGCUAGUCAUCUAGACUCAUAAUUUCUAGUGACAUGUCACUCGUAUCCUAUUCUAUUUCUAAGGUUCAAACGAGAUUUUUCCUCGUCUAUUAAGGCUUUGUCUUAUCAUAUUUCUAUUAAUCACAUACACUUAAUAUCUGUACAAUUCAUGUAAUGAUAACAUUUAAAUACAUGUAUAGCAUGGUAUUGUUUACAUACAAACUUACCUCAAUACCACAAAGGUGAAAAGGACAUAAUCAUCCCUUAAUCGAUUUCUUUCUGUUCUAGGUCCAAAUCUCGAUUUUCUUGAUCUAUAAUAUCACAUUUAGCCUACCAAUCAGUCACAAUAUUCAUAUGGGUAUAAAAAUCAUAUUUUUACAAAUUUUUAUUUUGACCCCUAAACUUUUGCAUAUUUGCACUUUUGCCUCAAUGCUCGUAAAAUAAUUUUUAUCACAUUUCUUUACUCCUUGAGUCUAGAUGAACCAUUUUCAUAACUAUAGCAACUCAUAAUUUCAACUAUUUUACACAUUACAACUUAUUUUACAACUUAGCAAUCUAGCCCUUUUUUAAGAUGUUUUCAUGUAAUUUCUUUCACAAAAGUUGUUUAUUAGACAACUAGGACUCAUAAUCUUCCAUAAAAACACAGAAAACAACACAUUUACUCUCAUGGCAAAACCCUAGACUCUUCAUCAUUUUGCAAAAUAGUCCCCUCUUAUGAAAGCUCAUGCUUUAGGGGUUCCAAAAAUGUAAAAAUCAUCAAGCAAAGACAUUAAAAUCACUUACAAGCAAGUGAAAUAUGUUGCUGAAAUUUUCCAGCUUCAAAACCCUUUCUUUGCUGCAUAUUUCGGUGAAGGAGAAGAGAAAAAUGAUAGCUUUUUCUUUUUUAUUUGUUAACAAUAAAACUAGUCAAAAUUGGUGACCAAAUUUCACCUAAUUUUGACUUUUCAACAAUUUUGUCUCCCAUGGCCGGCCAUCACACUUUCAAUGGCCUAAUUUCACUUUAAAGACCCCCAAUUUAAGAUACAAGGCAAUUUAACACACCUUUAGGUAUUAAAACACAACUUUUACCUUUUACGCGAUUUAGUCCUUUUUCGGAAUUGGACUAGAAAUUGCUAAAAUUAACUUACCAAAAAUUACAUGCACUUAUAAAAUUAUAUUAUAACACAUAAAAUAAUACUAAAAUAAUUUUAUCUAGCCUCGAAAUAGUGGUCCCGAAACCACUGUUCCGACUAGGCCCAAAAUCGGGCUGUUACAA